AGCUUUUUUCGCCCAAGCGGAGCUCGACCGUAAACUUCGGUAGUCGUGGAUUUCAUCCGCACCUACCGGAACCGCUUCGGGGUCUGGCCAAUCUGCGAAACCUUGACCGCCCACGGCAUCGCGAUUGCCCCG
rfam:Corynebacterium doosanense CAT 212 = DSM 45436, complete genome.